rnacentral:rRNA from 1 species
CGCUGGCGGCGUGCCUAACACAUGCAAGUCGAACGAAGCAUUUAAGUGAAUCUCUUCGGAGUGAAGCUUUUAUGACUUAGUGGCGGACGGGUGAGUAACGCGUGAGUAACCUGCCUUUCAGAGGGGGAUAACAGUUGGAAACGACUGCUAAUACCGCAUAACGUAUCGGAACCGCAUGAUUCUGAUACCAAAGCUGAGGCGCUGAAAGAUGGACUCGCGUCUGAUUAGAUAGUUGGUGAGGUAACGGCUCACCAAGUCGACGAUCAGUAGCCGGACUGAGAGGUUGAACGGCCACAUUGGGACUGAGACACGGCCCAGACUCCUACGGGAGGCAGCAGUGGGGAAUAUUGCACAAUGGGCGAAAGCCUGAUGCAGCAACGCCGCGUGAGGGAAGACGGUUUCGGAUUGUAAACCUCUGUCUUUGGUGAAGAUAAUGACGGUAGCCAAGGAGGAAGCCACGGCUAACUACGUG